GUCUCGAUAGCUAAGUGGUAUAGCAUGCGAUUGCAGUCAAUGUGUUAUCGCAGGGUCCGGUGUUCGAACCACCGUCGGGACU